rnacentral:lncRNA from 1 species
UUCUGAGUUCUUAAAGCGACAAUAAACCAGGAAUGUGCGUAGUAAUCCCAACCAAAGUGUCAUAUUCCUUGCCAAUCCAAGAAACACAUGAUCAAUAAAAUCUUGAGAAGAGACAGGAGAAUUUAUUGUUACAAGAGAGUCAGCAAUCCGAUUGGCCUCGCGAAGAUACUGAUCAAUUGACAUAGAGUCAUUUUUGCGCAUAGUAGUAAGUUGUCUCUUUAGUUCAAUAGAGUUUGCUUGACUGGCAUCCAUGUAGCGCCGUUGUAGAUAAUUCCAAAUAUCACGUGAAGUGGGCAGUAAAUGAACAUCCAUGAGAACUUCUCGAGAAAGCGUCGCAAACAGCCAAGAACAAACACUUUG